AAGAAAAAUAAACAAGUUAGAUCAAUUCCCCGGCAACGGCGCCAAUUUUUGACUUGCGGUUGUCGAAGCCGGUCAAAAAUAACCUUUCUGGUUAUCAACAAUUUACAACUGCAGAUAGUGGUGAAAGGAUCGAAUUCACAGGGAAUUGAAGACUUACCUAUUUUCCUUAUCAAGACCAAUAAAAUAAACUGAAAUAAAAAUAAACUGCAAAAGAAGAAAACUGAAAACGAGAUAAACUGAAACGAGAUAAAACUGAAACGAGAUAAAACUGAAAACGAGAUAAACUGAAA
rnacentral:lncRNA from 1 species